UCUUCCUGUUGACUUGGGGGAUUCCAGGCAUGCCAGUGCCUUCCGGCGUCAUUGAAGCAGCACUGACUUGAUAUUCGGUCACGCCGGUCCUGGACACAGAUGAGAGACACGGGAAGGCGAGACAUUGCACCGUCUGUCUUCUUCCAGCUUCAACAAUGAGCCUUCAUGGAGUGCAGCAGGCCCGUGCCUUGAUUUGGGAAUUCUGGCCUCCAGAGCUGACACAGGAUCCAUUUCUGUUGUUUUCAACCACCCAGUUCAUGGGAAAUUUGUUACCAGCAGCUUCGGGAAACUGAUACAAAUCCCUUGAGUUGUCUUCCUAAGGCAUCUAAAGGAAGAUGUUGGGGCGCCUGGGUGGCUCAGUGGGUUAAGCCGCUGCCUUCGGCUCAGGUCAUGAUCUCAGAGUCCUGGGAUCGAGUCCCGCAUCGGGCUCUCUGCUCAGCGGAGAGUCUGC
rnacentral:lncRNA from 1 species